rnacentral:rRNA from 1 species
UACAGAGGGUGCAAGCGUUGUUCGGAUUUACUGGGCGUAAAGCGCGCGUAGGCGGCUUUGUAAGUUAGAGGUGAAAGCCCGGAGCUCAACUCCGGAACUGCCUUUAAAACUGCAUCGCUUGAAUCCAGGAGAGGUGAGUGGAAUUCCGAGUGUAGAGGUGAAAUUCGUAGAUAUUCGGAAGAACACCAGUAGCGAAGGCGGCUCACUGGACUGGUAUUGACGCUGAGGUGCGAAAGCGUGGGGAGUAAACAGG